rnacentral:rRNA from 1 species
UACGGAGGGUGCAAGCGUUAUCCGGAUUCACUGGGUUUAAAGGGUGCGUAGGCGGGCAGGUAAGUCAGUGGUGAAAUCUUCAAGCUUAACUUGGAAACUGCCAUUGAUACUAUCUGUCUUGAAUGUUCUGGAGGUUAGCGGAAUAUGUCAUGUAGCGGUGAAAUGCUUAGAUAUGACAUAGAACACCAAUUGCGAAGGCAGCUCACUAA